rnacentral:rRNA from 1 species
GUAGGUGGCAAGCGUUGUCCGGAAUUAUUGGGCGUAAAGCGCGCGCAGGCGGUUCUUUAAGUCUGAUGUGAAAGCCCACGGGCUCAACCGUGGAGGGUCAUUGGAAACUGGAGAACUUGAGUACAGAAGAGGAAAGCGGAAUUCCACGUGUAGCGGUGGAAUGCGUAGAGAUGUGGAGGAACACCAGUGGCGAAGGCGGCUUUCUGGUCUGUAACUGACGCUGAGGCGCGAAAGCGUGGGGAGCAAACAGGAUUAGAUACCCUGGUAGUCCACGCCGUAAACGAUGAGUGCUAAGUGUUAGGGGGUUUCCGCCCCUUAGGGCUGCAGCUAACGCAUUAAGCACUCCGCCUGGGGAGUACGGCCGCAAAGGCUG